AAUGAACGUUGGCGGCGUGGAUUAGGCAUGCAAGUCGAACGCUUUAUGUAGCAAUACAUGAAGAGUGGCGUAAGGGAGAGUAAUCCAUGGUUAGCUACCCUCGGGUCUGGGAUAGCGGCGGGAAACUGCCGGUAAUACCAGAUGACAUCUUCGGAUCAAAGGUGUGAUUCCGCCCGGGGAGGCGACCGUGUCCUAUCAGCUAGUUGGCGGUGUAAUAGACCACCAAGGCUAAGACGGGUAUGGGGCGUGAGAGCGUGCCCCCACUCACUGGGACUGAGACACUGUCCAGACACCUACGGGUGGCUGCAGUCGAGAAUCUUCGGCAAUGGGCGCAAGCCUGACCGAGCGACGCCGCGUGCGGGAUGAAGGCCUUCGGGUUGUAAACCGCUGUCGUAGGGGAGGAAGCGACCGUGAAGAACGGAAGUUGACCGAUCCUAGGAGGAAGGGCCGGCUAAUCUCGUGCCAGCCGCCGCGGUAA
rnacentral:rRNA from 1 species